rnacentral:rRNA from 1 species
UACAGAGACUGCAAGCGUUAUUCGGAUUCACUGGGCGUAAAGGGUGCGCAGGCGGCCAAGUGUGUGAGGCGUGAAAGCCCGGGGCUUAACUCCGGAAUUGCACCUCAAACUACAUGGCUAGAGCAUUGGAGAGGGUAGCAGAAUUCACGGUGUAGCAGUGAAAUGUGUAGAUAUCGUGAGGAAUACCAGAGGCGAAGGCGGCUACCUGGACAAUUGCUGACGCUCAGGCACGAAAGCGUGGGGAGCAAAAGGG